AUCAUCCUGGUCAUAGUCCAGGGAGACUUCCAGGAGGAGGCAACAUCUGAGGAAAGAAUGAGGAAGACUGAUGAAUGCUGAGCGGGAGAGAUGGGGAAGAGUGUGCACAGUGUCUGGUCCCAGAAAGCUCAGACUUGAGCUGACAGCACUCCACAUCAAGGAAGAGCUGGGGGUCUUUCCACGCUCUGCCCCAGGGCCUUCUCCAAUUCGAAGCAAGCUGCUCAGGGGCAGCCCUCAAAUAGUGAGGAAGGCGGCCUGUGGGUAAACUCUGUGCUGAUUGACUCUUGGCAAGCAAUCCCUGGGGAAACGGGGGCCCCCUGGCUGCCAGCAGUGACCUUGAGGACACACAACAUAAAGCCAAUUUCAUCCCGCCUUUCCCCAGGACAGUAGAAUCCGAAUCUCCGAGAGGGAGGUGCCAGCAUCACGAUGUCUUCGAAGCUGAAUUCCCUCUGGAGUCAGGUCCAGGAGCAGCCCUCAUGCCCAGACACCUGGCUGAAAUAGAAGCUGGCACCGAGACGCUUGUGACUGAGUUGGAACAACUGAGUUGUGACACGUGAGGGUGUCACAGGAGCAGUUCCCUCGUGGCAGCGGUGGCCAUGACCCAUGAGGGAGCUCAGGGAGCCUCCUGAAAUAUUUAUGCAGGAAGAUGAGAAAGGGUUCUGUUUAUUGAACGCAUCCUCCAGGGAAGAAGCCACAGGGAACGGGCUGCUUCCCGUGUCCGAGAGCCAAUGAGCAGAGAAGGAAUUUCUUUGGAUUUGAAGCCAGACAGAGCCUGUGUGCUUGGAAAAAGAAGGGGGUGUGGAUUUCUGGAGGGGACAGAAGGCCCUCUCAACCUCCUACCUCCGGUCCCAGGAAAGCCUUUCAGCACAUGCUUUCCUGGUGACUCCAAAUAAUAACAACUGAAAUCUCAGCCUA